rnacentral:tRNA from 1 species
GGCCGAGUGGCGGAACUGGCAGACGCGCACGACUCAAAAUCGUGUGAUCCUAAUAGAUCGUGUGGGUUCGACUCCCUCCUCGGCCA